CCUACGGGCGGCAGCAGUGGGGAAUAUUGCACAAUGGGGGAAACCCUGAUGCAGCGACGCCGCGUGAGUGAAGAAGUAUUUCGGUACGUAAAGCUCUAUCAGCAGGGAAGAAAAUGACGGUACCUGACUAAGAAGCCCCGGCUAACUACGUGCCAGCAGCCGCGGUAAUACGUAGGGGGCAAGCGUUAUCCGGAUUUACUGGGUGUAAAGGGAGCGUAGACGGCAGCGCAAGUCUGGAGUGAAAUCCCAUGGCUUAACCAUGGAACUGCUUUGGAAACUGUGCAGCUAGAGUGCAGGAGAGGUAAGCGGAAUUCCUAGUGUAGCGGUGAAAUGCGUAGAUAUUAGGAGGAACACCAGUGGCGAAGGCGGCUUACUGGACUGUAACUGACGUUGAGGCUCGAAAGCGUGGGGAGCAAACAGGAUUAGAUAACCCUGUAGUC
rnacentral:rRNA from 1 species